rfam:Kouleothrix aurantiaca strain COM-B contig_19, whole genome shotgun sequence.
CCUGCUGUCCCAUCAGCAGUAUGCUAGGAGGUACUGCGGCAAGGUAACGCGCCGUGGAAAGCCCUCUGACAAUGUACCCACAGUCAUUUGACUGGCACCAGCACCGUGAGGGAAUGGUGUAUCUGUCAGCGCCACGACGGAGCGUGGC